UGGGGAAUCUUGGACAAUGGGCGCAAGCCUGAUCCAGCCAUGCCGCAUGAGUGAAGAAGGCCUUAGGGUUGUAAAGCUCUUUUGGCAGGGACGAUAAUGACGGUACCUGCAGAAUAAGCCCCGGCAAACUUCGUGCCAGCAGCCGCGGUAAUACGAAGGGGGCUAGCGUUGUUCGGAUUUACUGGGCGUAAAGCGCACGUAGGCGGAUUGUUAAGUCAGGGGUGAAAUCCCGGAGCUCAACUCCGGAACUGCCUUUGAUACUGGCAAUCUUGAGGCUGGAAGAGGUUGGUAGAAUUCCCAGUGUAGAGGUGAAAUUCGUAGAUAUUGGGAAGAAUACCAGUGGCGAAGGCGGCCAACUGGUCCAGAUCUGACGCUGAGGUGCGAAAGCGUGGGGAGCAAACA
rnacentral:rRNA from 1 species